rnacentral:misc_RNA from 1 species
GUCAUGUUGCGCGCUGAUCGAUCAAAGGAGGAAGGCGAAGCAAAGAGCGGUCAAAAAUGUUAUGCUGAGUUGCCACCACAGCCACAGCUAACGAAGGAAGGAAUCGCAGAAUCUGCCUCUUGGCCAAAUAAACCGCGCGUCUCGUAAGAACCGCAUAAUCCGCCCAAACCGUGUUGUGUCCGCCGUGUUCCGGGGGUGGUUCGUGUGUGCGUGUUGUUGACCGUGUCAACGGGGGCUUCGAAAUUGGCGAAAAUCGCGCUCCGAACCGGAUUUUGCGAGUGUUUUUCCAGCAGCAGAAGAAAAUCUCAAUUUUGUACAGUUCCGCGGCGGAACUUCCCUUCCCAUUUUGGGUUUUUGCAAAAGUGCACCUAGCAAAAAAAAAAAAAAGGAAAAAAGUGAGAGUGAAAUUAUUUUGCGAAUGGUGCCGCUGUCAAGGUUGCUGCCCUCGUAAAAACAUUGGCGGUCCGACGGAUGACCGCAGCUGGCCACCAUGUCGGACGCACCCGUCAAGAAACGUGUGGCCCUGACGACGAUUGGUGAUGUGGUCCGCAAGAGUCCCUUCGGAGGUGCUGGUGGUGGCUCGGCCGACGAAGGAUUCUUCCCGAAGGGGUUCGCCUCGCAAGCGGGUUCGUCCGGGGCCGGGAGCGGUGGAUCGGGUUCCGGCAAGCCGGCCAAGUCGGCGAACCGCCAGACGAUCCGGCUGGAGCUGGAACUGUUCGAGCCCAACGCCAAGAGCUUCCCCGAGUUUAACUACUCCAAGCUUGUGCACGAGGCGCAGAAACGCAAACGCAAAAAGGAGAAAAAGGCCGCCGCCGGUUCCGCCCCCGGCACCAACGGCUUCCUGUCCGACCCGGACGCCGUCGACCACGACGACGUGGCGCGGCUCGCCAAGGAGCUGGAGAAGAAGUACGGCGCCGGGACGGCCUACUCGAGCGGUCCGUCCCGGCUGGACUACUGCGACCGGGGGGCCGGCUACGACGAGGAGGACUCGUUCAUCGACAACACCGAGGCAUACGACGAGCUGAUCCCGCAGGAGGUCGAAACGGUGGGCGGCGGGUUCUACAUCAACUCGGGCGCGCUCGAGUUUAAGACGUUGUCGAAUUUUGAGCGGCCGGAUGACCAUUUGCGGAUGCCGAAGCCCAAGAAGCGCCAGCUGUCGACGACGAGUGAGGAGAGUAGCGAGGAGGAGGAGGAAGAGGAAGAGGAGGAAGUUGUGGGGAAGAAGAAGCAGAAGAAGGUGGUGGUUCCGGCGGUGAAGGCUGCGAAGAAGAAGGAAGCGGGUGGGACAAGUGGGACAAGCGGGACGGAGAGUGCUGCUGGGAGGGGGAGGAAGCGGAUUAAUGGGCACGUGGGGAAGAAGCAAAAGGUUGGUGGUGAGGAGAAGAAGAGUGGGAAGGUGGUGGCGAUGACGGUGCAGAAGGAGGAAAAGAAGAAGAAGAAGGUAGAGAAGGUUAGCGGUGCGAUUGCUGGUGGGGGGAAGGAGGUUAAGGUGAUGAAGACUACGACGGUUAAGGAUAUGCUGAGGGCGAAGCGGGACAGUUUGCUGAAGAUGGAGCAGCAGAAGAAGGGAGGGAGGAGUAGUGGAACGGUUUCAAGUUCGGAAGCGGAAGAGGAAGGUGGGGAUGGGGACGAGGAGGAUGAGGACGGAAGUAGCGAGGCCAGUGAUAGCGAUUCCAGUGAUAGUGGUAGCGGGUCGGACUCGGAUUCGGACAGUGGGAGUGGUGAGGGUGAGGGUGGAGCUGGGGGAAGUGAGAAGGAAGGUGCGGUGGCCAAGGUCAAUGAUGAGGGAGAGGGAGCGAAGAAGAAGAGCGUGGUUAAGCUUCCGGACAAUCUGCCGGAUCAUUUGGUGCAGGAUUUGAACAGCUUGAAGGAGAUUGCGAAGGCCACGAGCGGCAAGGUCAACUUCCUGGACGGAAAGGUGGCAGAUUUGCUGCUGCAGAUUGACGUGACUUCGCGGAUGUGUGGUGGAAGUGCACGGAAUUCGGUGUACAAACACCUGGAGAGUCACCUGCAGGUCAGUCGGCAAACGUUGAUGAUCAAGAUCAAGAAGAUUCGCAUCCGGAAGGAGGACAACAAGGUGAAGAAGGCCCUCGACAAGCUGGAGACGGUUGUCAAGGAGAUGAUGCCUAAGCUGGUGGCCAGCUUUGAGGCGGAAAAGAAAAAGGCUGCGGAUUUGAGAACCGCGCAGGCCGCGGCCGCCGCUUCCGCUGGAACGGACGGCACCAGCGCCGAGAAGCAGCCGGACGUGAAAAGCCCAAAGAGAAAGUUCCCGUGGAACGAUACGUUGCGUGGCCUGCUGGCUGAUAUUGCCCAAAUCCGGAAGCAGUCGUUUCACAUCCUGCGGCCCCGGAAGGAAACCGAAGAGGAGUACGUGCAGAGCUAUCUGAAGAAGAGCGUGGUUCCGCUGUGGCCAAGCGGUUGGAUGCGAUUCGAGGACCUCCAGAAGGAACUGGACCGACGGAAAAAGGCAGCUCAAAAGGCCAAGGAACCGAAAAAGACUGCCGUCCAGCUGAACAAUUCCUCGUCCAACGGGCCUGCCAAGCAUUCGCAGCAGCAGGAUUCAGUAUUAUCGCCAGCUCCGCCCAAGCAACCGAAGUUGGUUCGAACUCCGCAGGCAUCGCCGGUUCCGCCCCCGCCAAGUACUUCCCCCGCGUCGAAGAAAACCUCCGACCACAGCAUCAUCAACAUCAUCAGCUCACCGCCCAGCCAGAAAGAUGGCGCCGGUUCUUCCUCGUCACAUUCCAGUCCGUAUCCGGCGGCGCAACAACAACAACCGCCACGACCUCAGUCCCAACCGCCGCGCACCUCGCCCAACUUUGACGAGGACCUCAUCAAGGCCCACGUCAUCAACCUGGAGACGGCGCACAGCGCAACCAAGACUUCAACGGCACCCGUUCCGGACUACCUCCGCAUCCAAUCACCCGCCCUCUCCUCGGCAGCUUCGUCCGCGUCGUCCUCGCGGCGUCAAUCCGUCUACCAGGACCAACCACCUCCGAUGGCCCACGCAUCUACCUCGACUCCGCCGAAUGCCAACGCCCGGAAGGGAGCGCGCAAAAGCCGCGACGAAGACUCGGACAGCAGCAUCGAAAUCGUCGGCGAGUACAGCAUGGCGGACAACGGAACGACCAACACCGCCGUCAAAAAGUCCGACCCGCUGAACCUGGCCAUGCCCACGCUCAACAAGGACAAGUACAAAAAGCUCGGCGCCGGCACCGGUUCCAGCGCGUCUUCCGCCAAGAGCAACAGUAGCAGCAGCACCAAAACCACCAUCAACAACAACCUGGACAAACACGCCGGCAAGUACGGCGGGUUCGCACUUCCGAUGACCGGACUCCACCACCAACCGCAGGACCUCAAACCGACCACGUCGGUACCGACGCCACCACCGCCGCCGCGCUCCUCUUCCACCGGUCCCAACGACCUGGACGUCAUCCGGAUCAUGAGAGAGCUGCAAGAGUUGCAGGCCAUCCAAAUGGCGAAGCAGCCCUCCCCGAAGCCGGCCCACAGCGAUUCGCGCAAGUCGACCGUCAGCAGCAGCGCCUCGAUGGUGGGAAGCACGUCGUCCUCGUCCUCGACGCCGCCACCUCCGCGCAAGUCGGACGCGGCUCAAUCGCCGGCCCAGCAGCAGCAACAGCAACAAUCUCAUCACAUGCAAAUUCCGCAGCUGGCCCAGUUUCUGCCGCGAUCCUAAUGGGACAUGGGAAAGUGCAACACGACCACUGCCACCACCGAACAAUGUUUCGAAUAGUUUAAAUCGAGCGAGGAUGACGGGGUCCAAUUGGUUCUGGAGAAGGGCGUGAAGCGCCGCUGACCAAAAUCGACACUCCACCCGUCGUCAAGAACGGCAGUUCCGGCCCCGGAAGUAAAACCAAACCGAAGCCAAAAGUACUGAACCCUGUGGCAGCAGCAGCAGCGGCGGCAGCGGCCGCAGUCGUCGCCGUGCCGCCUCCGCCGUCUG